UCUACAGCCACAAUGACUCCACUGAUCCUGCUCUGUGUCCUCAUAUUCUUCACUUGGGGCUCGAAUGGUCAGAUUUCUGUGACCCAACCAUCAACACCAAAAACGGUUUCUGUUGGGGCCGGUGUCACCUUCACAUGUACCACUAGCAGUGAUGUGUCUAGUUACAUUCAAUGGUAUCAGCAGAGACCUGGACAAGCUCCUACACUCCUGAUCUACAAAGCAAGCAAUCUCUAUGGUGACACCCCGAAUCGUUUCAGUGGCAGCGGGUCAGGAACUUCAUACAGUUUGACUAUCAGUGGAGUUCAGUCUGAAGACGCCGGUCACUACUACUGUCAGAACAGCUAUAGCUCUCUGCACAGUGAUUGA